rnacentral:lncRNA from 1 species
UUAUCUUAUCCUUUUUAGUUGUGGGUUGUUCGGCAGUUGCCCCUGCGUAUGAAAUCAUAUCUUCUUCAUUCUUGGCCACCUUUUGGAGAUCUUCCAUUCUUUUUAUUAGUUCUAUAUUUCUAACUUGCUCAGUCUGGAGUUGUUUUCCUAGAAGGAGUUUCUGUUCUUUAUGCUUGAUAAUCGGGUCUUGAAGAGCUGCCUUUUCUGCUACAAUUUCUAUUUCUAGAUGAGGAUUAAUUUCAUAUAUUUCUGCCCAUUUCGUCUUGAGUUUUUCUAAUACAUUGUAUUUAUGUCCAAGGUAUAUCUGGGCAUCUUUGUAUGUUGGUGACAGAGAGCUAUAUAUAUAUAUAUAUAUAUAUAUAUAUAUUUAUAUUUUGGGUUUUUCUGAGAUUUUGUAUAAUGGAUAAUUUUAGUCCAUUCUUUGUAUAUCCGCUUAUUAUCUCCUGUAAACAGGAUAUAACAUAUCUCGUUAUUAUGGAUAUGGAGAUAUAGGGAGAGUCCACUAAGACAGGAUAUCUGAUGUUUAAUAUCUCCCCGUUUAUAGGCUAAUAAGUAUUCUUUCUGCAGAUGUCAUGAUCGUAUUCUCCGCCAAGUUGAAUUUUUGACCAGAGCCGUUAUAAUCUGUGAAGGAAAGUUUACCCGAAAGCAUAAGUGGCUUUCCUGUAGGCUUCUAGAGAUUUUUUGCUCCUUCUGGAUAUUCUUUUGAAGGUGUAUGAGGGAUUAUAGCUUUUGUUGUAGAUUUUGGUCGAGAAGAUUCAAGGAAUCUUUCUUGUCGUCGAGUGGUCAUUCUGAAAUUAAUAUCCAUUAGUAAUUUUUCCUCAAAUUGUAGCAGUCUAGAUAAUAUAUCUGCGAUUUUAUUAUUUUCUCCUGAAAUGUGUUCUAUAUGGG